rnacentral:lncRNA from 1 species
AGAUAGUUUGAGAGGCACUGCUCCUCAUUGCAUCUGCUCUCUAUUCAGCAAGCCUAAGGAAGAGGAUCAUUGAUGGAAGGGACAUCCUCUCUGUCCUGCUCUCUGCACCACAGAAGAAACAUAAGGAGUUCACCAGACUUGAGUCUGGGUAUGCUACAAAAAUGUGACUUCUUUUCCUGACAAAGCCUGGAUUUUGAACUUAUUUUCAAGUUGUAGAUGCAAGCUAAAAUCUAAUUUGACAGUCAAAGCUGGACAAGGACUCCCCUGUGUUCUGGUGGGGACUAUGUUCUGACACCUUUUCCCUGAAGCACGGAAACCCAUUGUUUCAAUGAGUGGGAAGUCCUAAAGCAAUGUGAUCUACAGGAUAAGAAGACACACCAAAAAAAAUAUCCUGAAGUUGCUGAUGUAAGAAGGAUGGUUGGAGAACAGCUCUAUUUCAAGAACAUCUGAAUAUGAUGUUUUUCAUAAUCUUAAAAAAACCUGUAUCGGUAAUCAAUACAAUACAUUCCAAGUGACCCUAUUUUUUUGCAAAAGAAGAAGAAAAUCUCUAGAAAACCAUUUGCAUUCAUAUAAGCUUUACAAUGCCUGAAACAAAUGUUUAGGCCUCAGUCUUUUCCAGUUCAAAGACCAAUGAAAAUAAUUUGUAGACCACACUUGAACAACCACAAAUUGAGUGCUGUUCCUAAAGGAAGCUUUCGCAGCUGGGAUGCCUGAAACAAUUCUGGCAUUAAGUGGGUGAAUAUUAUUAUUAAUAAUAUUUAAUUAAGUUUCUACCUGAGCACCCUGCUGAAAGACUCUCUAAAAACUAGUCUAACAUCAUUAAUCUAACAAAAUAAGGGCCAAAUUAGGAAACAGAAGAAGGCUACAGUUUUAUCAUUGUACUGACCUAUCUUAGAGGUAACGUUGACUCUCCUUAGAGAUAGUUUCCAAAAUACUAUUACUCAGUUGAAGAAAAGUUAGACCAUGCUCAAGAAUAAUUGUUUUGAGAUUGUCUUAUGCCCCACAACCUCCCUGCAAGUGCCAUUUUGCUAUGUUCCUUAAAACCACCUCUUUUUCAAGGAUUCAAUUCCCUUAAGUCUGCCUGCCAGCCUUUGUCUCAACUCAACUCAAAAUGGCAAGGAUAUGACUUGGUUUAUCUACCCAAGUUGAUGGAUAACCAAUUAGACUUUAGUGUGACUGUAUAUGCUUCUAUACACACUCUAUAUACUUCUCAAGAAGUAUUUGUAGUGUUUGCCUUUGAUCUAUAAUUGUAGCUUGAAAGCUCUUUUUUUCCUAUUCAGUAGACUUCAGAUAACUGCAAGCCAUAGGCAGUCUCUCUCAUUUGAAAAGAGAAAAUCUUUUCUUCAAGGACAAUAUCUGGUCUCCCCAACCCAGAUGGUCCCUGCUUCCUGAGCAGACCUAUUUUGUUUGUUGUUGUUUUGAGACAGGGUCUCUCUCUGUUGACGAGGCUAGAGUGCGGUGGUGUGAUCAUGGCUCACUGCUGUGUUGACCUCCCAGGCUUAAGCAAUCCUCCCACCUCAGCCUCCUGAGUAGCGGGGACCACAGGCAUGUACCAUCACACUUGGAAAUUAUUUUUAUUUUUAUUAGAGACAGGGUCUCCCCAUGUGGCCCAAGCUGAUCUCUAACUCCUGAGCUCAAGUGAUCCUCCUGCCUUGGCUUCCCAAAGAGCUGGGAUUACAGAUGUGAGCCACCAUGCCUAGCUUCUAUUAAUAAUGUCAGUAAGAAGGUAUUGCCCUUCUCCACCAGCUCCUAAAAUUAGGUAGGGCUGUGGCCUUCUUGCCUUUGAAGAUGACAUUCCCAAUCACAGUUAAUAUAUUAAAAUAUAUUCACAUAGAUUAAAUAUAGUAUAUGUAAUUAUAUUGACUAAAUUCUCCUACACUUGAUGCUUUGAUAUAUUGUCAAAUUUUGUAGACAUUUGUUUCAUUUGGUAGCUUUAUUUAUUUUACUUAUUUUAAUGUAUUUAUUUAUUUCAGUGUGGUAGUUUUCUUAUUUUGAUGCCAAUUUGUUUUUAGCUGUCUAAUAUUUUUAUUAGUUGUCUUGGGUCAGGUUUCCUAGAAGCAAAACCUGACAUGAAGAUUCAUGAACAAGUGGUUUAUUACAGAAGGAUUCCUAGGAGAAAAUGAUAAGGAUUUGAAAGAAGUAGUGGGGAAGUCAGGGCAAGACUGGGAAGGGGAAGAACCCAAGCAAGGCUGUAAUUGCAGAUAAAGUUGCAAUCUCAGCCUAAUCCUAUGGGGAGCUCUAGAGUAUAAA